CUUCAGUGCUGAUCACAGUGGGAGAUAUUACUGUGAAGCUCAGAACACAAGAGGACGUCAUAACUCCACCUUACAUCUGCUUGUUGUGACAGGGAACUCAACAUUCAUAAUACAUAUCAUCAAGUGGACUCUGCUGCUCUUGAUGUUGAUUUCUCUGUUUCUCCUGACUCUGUGGACGAGAAAGAAGAAAACUCUGAACUCCACCACCUGAACCAAAUGAACCGCAGAGAUGAUCGAGGUGUGAGAGAGAGAGAGAG